CGCAUCACUGGUGUUCGGGUUGUCAUGCCAAUGGCACUGCCCGGUAGCUAAAUGCGGAAGAGAUAAGUGCUGAAAGCAUCUAAGCACGAAACUUGCCCCGAGAUGAGUUCUCCCUGAGACUAUAAGUCUCCUGAAGGAACGUUAAAGACGAUGACGUUGAUAGGCCGGGUGUGUAAGCGCAGCGAUGCGUUGAGCUAACCGGUACUAAUGAACCGUGAGGCUUAACCUUACAACGCCGAAG
rnacentral:rRNA from 1 species